rnacentral:lncRNA from 1 species
GCCGGGGCGUCCCCCGCGGGAGCCCGCAGCCACCCGGGACGCGCAUCCAGACGUGGCGCUUCGGACCGGGCACGCUGCGCCCGGGGGCUCGGCGGACCCCGCGUAGCCGCCGCUUCGGAGCUUGUGCGGCGCGGGCUGGCCAGCGGGGCGGCCAGGGCCCGGCCCGCCUCCCCAGCGCCCGCCCGGCUUCUCCCCCUGGCGGUGGGAGCCUCGGCGGCCGCUGGCGACACUAGGCGCACUGAAGCCCGAGCCGAGCCGAGCCCGAGCCGCCGCCGCCGCCGCCGCUGCUGCGCACCGCUCCCGGGCUCCCUCCCAGCGCGCCGGCCGGGGUGUGGGGGGCGGCGGGCCGGAGGGGCGAGGGCGGGCCAGGGGGCGCACACGGGGGUUGGCGCGGAAGACAGGACCCUCAGCCUCGAGGGAGCCCCUAGGUGACCAGGCAAAAUGGCAGUUCCUUCCAGCUGGUCCUCAGAUGGGCACAUCUAUUAGCCUCUGCUCUUGUAAGAAGUUAGCUGCAGAACCCACAUGUGAAUCCUUGUAGGACUCUGGAGAAGAUCAAAUGGGAGCUUAGAUGUGGAAGCUCUUUGGAAACCAAGAAACACUCUGAAAAUGAAAAGGGAUCUCAACUUUUCUCUUCCCGCUCCAGCUGCACUAUGUAUCCGUGCUUGGCUCUCAGUUGUUGGAUUCUCAUGUCUCCUUUUUCACAGUGGCUCAGGUGGAAGAGUAAACUGUUCCUGUUUCUCCAUCUUGACAGGAAGCAGAAGUUCUCCUUAGCUGAUUUUUCUUCUUGCCUUAUACUGGGUUCUUUAACACCAGAACAAAAAUAAAUAAAUAAAAGAAUCUUCCAGAAAUUCAUGAAGAGACUUCAGGUCAGGAAAGCCUGAACUUUCUCAUCCAACACCCGUUCAAGUCGGAGGAUGCUGAUUAAUUCAUGAUGGAAAGGUAUCAAUUUCACAGCCCAGACCUCUACAUUCUUGAAAUGCUCUUCUCAUGGGAGACAUUAAAUAAGCUUUGAAUUAACUUAAGCCCUUAAGUAAAAGUGCCAUCAAAUGAUUUCUCAGAAAUUAUAAAGAAACAAAAGGACCAUAAACAAGAUAAGGUGGCAUGAGGAAACAUUACAAGUACCUUUCAGAGCUGACUGGCAAAGAAACUCCUGAGGUGACGGGGACUUAUCUUCCUCAGUUCUCUGUGAUGAACUUUUGUAGAGCCAUACGAAAGGAGGUUUUUAGCUCUCACCUGUGGUCUUUCUUCAUCAUGCACCUCCUAGAUUCAAAAGUUCAGCAGGGACAUGUCAAGCUAUAUAAAUAAAAACAAACUAAGAAAAAAUGUAACAUUCCAUACCUUAAAACGCAACCUUAAUAACGUGAAAGACCCUGAAGGACUUGAGACGUGAAGAUUUUCUACCACGGUCUUUGCCUGUAUUAUUUCUGACAGCUGUUCCUUUCUACUCCCUCUUGCACACAUCUUUAGUUACUCCCUGUUCUCCAUCCCUCUGAUAAAAUCUAGAGUUCCCCCCUCAAAUUAGAAAAUUAAAAAAAAUUAAAAAUCUAAAAUUAAAAUUUAAAAAAUUUUUAAAAAUCUAGAGUUUAAAAAAAAUGUUCUAUCUCAGGCUUGUGAACCAUAUUGUUAGUUCACAAUUAAGAAUGAUGUACAUCUAUUGGACAAGUUUUAAUUAAUUCUUUCCCUUGGCUGAUUAGUAAAUUUCUGCAGUGAGUACAAAUGUU